rnacentral:rRNA from 1 species
GAUGAACGCUAGCGGCAGGCUUAACACAUGCAAGUCGAGGGGUAUAGUUCUUCGGAACUAGAGACCGGCGCACGGGUGCGUAACGCGUAUGCAAUCUACCUUUCACAAAGGGAUAGCCCAGAGAAAUUUGGAUUAAUACCUUAUAGUAUAGCGACUUCGCAUGGAGCUGCUAUUAAAGAUUUAUCGGUGAAAGAUGAGCAUGCGUCCAUUAGCUAGUUGGUAAGGUAACGGCUUACCAAGGCUACGAUGGGUAGGGCUCCUGAGAGGGAGAUCCCCCACACUGGUACUGAGACACGGACCAGACUCCUACGGGAGGCAGCAGUGAGGAAUAUUGGUCAAUGGGCGCAAGCCUGAACCAGCCAUGCCGCGUGCAGGAUGACGGUCCUAUGGAUUGUAAACUGCUUUUGUACAGGAAGAAACACUCCUCGUGAGGGAGCUUGACGGUACUGUAAGAAUAAGGAUCGGCUAACUCCGUGCCAGCAGCCG